GACGAACGCUGGCGGCGUGCCUAAUACAUGCAAGUAGAACGCACAGUUUAUACCGUAGCUUGCUACACCAUAGACUGUGAGUUGCGAACGGGUGAGUAACGCGUAGGUAACCUGCCUGGUAGCGGGGGAUAACUAUUGGAAACGAUAGCUAAUACCGCAUAAUAUUAAUUAUUGCAUGAUAAUUAAUUGAAAGGUGCAAUUGCACCACUACCAGAUGGACCUGCGUUGUAUUAGCUAGUAGGUGAGGUAACGGCUCACCUAGGCGACGAUACAUAGCCGACCUGAGAGGGUGAUCGGCCACACUGGGAAUGAGACACGGCCCAGACUCCUACGGGAGGCAGCAGUAGGGAAUCUUCGGCAAUGGACGAAAGUCUGACCAAGCAACGCCGCGUGAGUGAAGAAUGUUUUCGGAUCGUAAAGCUCUGUUGUAAGAGAAGAACGGGUGUGAGAGUGGAAAGUUCACACUGUGACGGUAUCUUACCAGAAAGGGACGGCUAACUACGUG
rnacentral:rRNA from 1 species